CCUACGGGAGGCAGCAGUGGGGAAUCUUGCACAAUGGGCGAAAGCCUGAUGCAGCGACGCCGCGUGCGGGAUGACGGCCUUCGGGUUGUAAACCGCUUUCAGCAGGGACGCGGUACCUGCAGAAGAAGCCCCGGCCAACUACGUGCCAGCAGCCGCGGUAAUACGUAGGGGGCAAGCGUUGUCCGGAUUUAUUGGGCGUAAAGAGCUCGUAGGCGGUUUGGUAAGUCUGGUGUGAAAUCUCCACGCUCAACGUGGAGGGGCCACCCGAUACUGCCAGACUGGAGUCCGGUAGAGGAGUGUGGAAUUCCCGGUGUAGCGGUGAAAUGCGCAGAUAUCGGGAGGAACACCCGUAGCGAAGGCGGCACUCUGGGCCGGACUGACGCUGAGGAGCGAAAGCGUGGGGAGCAAACAGGAUUAGAUACCCUUGUAGUC
rnacentral:rRNA from 1 species